GAUGAAGAACGUAGCGAAAUGCGAUACGUAAUGUGAAUUGCAAAUUCAGUGAAUCAUCGAGUCUUUGAACGCACAUUGCGCCCCCUGGUAUUCCGGGGGGCAUGCCUGUCCGAGCGUCAUUGCUGCCCUCAAGCACGGCUUGUGUGUUGGGCCCCGUCCUCCGAUCCCGGGGGACGGGCCCGAAAGGCAGCGGCGGCACCGCGUCCGGUCCUCGAGCGUAUGGGGCUUUGUCACCCGCUCUGUAGGCCCGGCCGGCGCUUGCCGAUCAACCCAAAUUUUUAUCCAGGUUGACCUCGGAUCAGGUAGGGAUACCCGCUGAACUUAAGCAUAUCAAUAGCGGGGA
rnacentral:misc_RNA from 1 species